UAUCUUUGCUACAUGCUUUGUUCCCUUUCGGCAAUCGCCGGAUAGGGAUUAAAAGGGAAUCGGGUGAGAAUCCCGGACAGUCCCGCUGCUGUAAGCUUCAUAAACGGGUUGAGCAAUACUGUUGCCACUGUUCAUUCAAGUGAAUGGGAAGGCGCUUAAGACCGGAAGUAAGUCAGAAGACCUGCAAGGCGUGUAUAUUUUCG
rnacentral:ncRNA from 2 species